rnacentral:lncRNA from 1 species
AAUUCCUGUAGGAAAACAGACCUUUGAAAUAUGUCUGACUUAUUCAAUACAACACUAUUUUCAUUAAUUGAACUAUAUUUUAAGAAGAAUUAUGUGUUCUGUUAAUGUACCUUGUGUGUAUUUACGCAGCUGGUUUACACAGAGACCCUUACCUGGUGUGUCCCAGUCCAGGUACUGAGAUGGAGAGUUGUGCCUCAGAAAUGAGUCACUCUGGGAAGUGUAAGGAGGGGGAAACUUCCUCAAAAAUGACUCUGAACAGGUAAGAGAGAGACGUAUGUGUUUGUGUUCUUGUGUGUUGUGUUGUCUUAAGUAAUAUUUAUUUGAUGUAGGUUGGGGUGCAAAGUGAGUUUUUGUGCAUUUUUACAAAUUUUCUUGGGAACUGGAAGGUCACAAUGAUAGAAAGACACUCACUGGAAAGUUUCCUGGAAGUUUCUUAUCUGUGACCACAGAGUCCAACAAGAAAGAAGAGACUCACCCGAACCCAGCUGUGUAUCCAUGAAGAGUGACCGGUCAAUGGAACAACCUAUUCUCUUCCAACAGGGACUGGUUUCUACAGAUGGAAGGUAGAGGUGUUUUGAACCAAUGAUGCAACUUUUGAGCUCUUCAUCUUUAUUAAACAUGUUCAGAUAUUUUUGUCCGCAUUAGUAUAUUUAAACUUAUGUUUAAUCAACAGAAAUCAGCUGAAGACAUGUGACUCGGCACGUCAACAGGUUGAUUUAUCAGCAGUUUUCAAGUCUCUUGAGGACAAAGCUGUGAAGUUCCUGAGACAUAAGCUGAACAAGUUGAAGAGGAAUCUGAGUCAGGAUUACCCAGCAUGCCUUGAGCCCCAGGCUGACAAUGACCUGGACAGUGAAGCUGAGAUCCAGAAGAUGUGUGGCAGAGAGGGGGCUCUGAAGAUCACACCGUACAUCCUGAGGACUAUGAACCAGAAGGACCUCACAGACACACUGGAGAAGAGUAAGAAC